AUUGAACGCUGGCGGCAGGCCUAACACAUGCAAGUCGAGCGGAUGAAGGGAGCUUGCUCCUGGAUUCAGCGGCGGACGGGUGAGUAAUGCCUAGGAAUCUGCCUGGUAGUGGGGGAUAACGUCCGGAAACGGGCGCUAAUACCGCAUACGUCCUGAGGGAGAAAGUGGGGGAUCUUCGGACCUCACGCUAUCAGAGGAGCCUAGGUCGGAUUAGCUAGUUGGUGGGGUAAAGGCCUACCAAGGCGACGAUCCGUAACUGGUCUGAGAGGAUGAUCAGUCACACUGGAACUGAGACACGGUCCAGACUCCUACGGGAGGCAGCAGUGGGGAAUAUUGGACGAUGGGCGAAAGCCUGAUCCAGCCAUGCCGCGUGUGUGAAGAAGGUCUUCGGAUUGUAAAGCACUUUAAGUUGGGAGGAAGGGCAGUAAGUUAAUACCUUGCUGUUUUGACGUUACCAACAGAAUAAGCACCGGCUAACUUCGUG
rnacentral:rRNA from 1 species